CGGUAGCAAGAAGCCUGGCGAUUGGUGCCUGGAUUGUAUCGCGUUUCCAAGGGGAAGCUGGAGCGGCGGCGGCGCCGGGGACAGCAGGGGAAGUCCAGUGCGGCUCAGCCCGGUCCGUCCGGGGGUUGGGGACGCGACCAUGAGUUUGGCCUUGAGGAAUGAUCUUGCAGUAGACAAAACCAAAAGGAAGAAAAGAAGAGAAUUGACUGAAGAACAGAAGCAAGAAAUUAAAGAUGCUUUUGAGUUGUUUGACACAGACAAAGAUAAAGCAAUAGAUUAUCACGAAUUAAAGGUGGCAAUGAGAGCCUUGGGUUUUGAUGUAAAAAAAGCUGAUGUGCUAAAAAUACUUAAAGAUUAUGAUAGAGAUGCAACAGGCAAAAUCACCUUUGAAGAUUUUAAUGAAGUUGUGACAGACUGGAUAUUGGACCGAGAUCCACAAGAAGAGAUACUCAAAGCAUUCAAAUUAUUUGAUGAUGAUGACUCAGGUAAAAUAAGCUUGAGAAACCUGCGCCGUGUUGCUAGAGAACUAGGUGAAAACAUGUCUGAUGAAGAACUACGGGCUAUGAUUGAAGAAUUUGAUAAAGAUGGAGAUGGAGAAAGUUAGAACGAAGAUCUUUUGGGUGCUUUAACUAUAUGAAUAUCCACUGCUUAACACGUUUGGCUUUCAUUUACAUGUAAAUUUAACUCUGGAGUUUGCAGUGCUUAGUUGGGGAUAUUAAGUACAACAUCUCUGUAACUUUCACUCUUAAGUCAACCAGGAGGAGUUCAUUGCUAUUAUGACCGGAGAUGUUUAAAGUUACAAGAAAAUGAACUCAACAACAAAAAGGGAGGAUUAUUGGCUGUUAACAUUUUAAUUGCCAUCUUAUGGUUCUGUUUAUUUCUGUAGCUGGACCCAUGCAAAAAAAUUAUUUUCCUCAAAGGACCAAAAUAAACAUAUGUCUUAUGUACUGAUACUUCAGUAAUUUGUAACAUUAAUUUUUAGAGUAAGCAGUGUUAAGUUUCUAAAAUGUUUGAGUAUUCAUUUGUAAAAUAGCUUUGUAUGAGAUUUCUAAAUUAAAUCAUAUUCUAAAAAUCUUUUGAAGUUUACUUUAACAGUAGCUGUGGCCUUAGUUUUGAUAUAUAAAGUUUUAACAAACUUCCAUUUUUAAUAAAAUGUUCUUUUAUUAUUGGUA